UACGUAGGGUGCGAGCGUUGUCCGGAAUUAUUGGGCGUAAAGAGCUCGUAGGCGGUUCGUCGCGUCGGGUGUGAAAACCCGGAGCUCAACUCCGGGCCUGCAGUCGAUACGGGCGGACUUGAGUGUUGCAGGGGAGACUGGAAUUCCUGGUGUAGCGGUGAAGUGCGCAGAUAUCAGGAGGAACACCGGUGGCGAAGGCGGGUCUCUGGGCAACUACUGACGCUGAGGAGCGAAAGCGUGGGGAGCGAACAGG
rnacentral:rRNA from 1 species